AUUGAACGCUGGCGGCAUGCCUUACACAUGCAAGUCGAACGGCAGCAUAGGAGCUUGCUCCUGACGGCGAGUGGCGAACGGGUGAGUAAUAUAUCGGAACGUGCCCUAGAGUGGGGGAUAACUAGUCGAAAGACUAGCUAAUGCCGCAUACGAUCUACGGAUGAAAGUGGGGGAUCGCAAGACUUCAUGCUCCUGGAGCGGCCGAUAUCUGAUUAGCUAGUUGGUGGGGUAAAAGCCUACCAAGGCGACGAUCAGUAGCUGGUCUGAGAGGACGACCAGCCACACUGGGACUGAGACACGGCCCAGACUCCUACGGGAGGCAGCAGUGGGGGAUUUUGGACAAUGGGGGCAACCCUGAUCCAGCAAUGCCGCGUGAGUGAAGAAGGCCUUCGGGUUGUAAAGCUCUUUUGUCAGGGAAGAAACGGUAGUAGCUAAUAUCUAUUACUAAUGACGGUACCUGAAGAAUAAGCACCGGCUAACUACGUGCCAGCAGCCGCAGUAA
rnacentral:rRNA from 1 species